AAUAAUAAUAAUACAAUAAAAUCCGCGAUCCCGUGGCCGGCGUUAAACGCGUUAAUCAGUACCGCGCGAGUACAACAUCCGCAUCCGACGUAACGUAACGAUAAUAUUAUCGCUGUCAACGUCGGACCGUAUAACAGCGUUCAACGUGGGGAUGUUUUGUUCUUUCGGUGGACUGUUGCGGGUGGGGGGUGUCGGUAGAGGAGGGCGAGACGUCGUAUAAAAAAUACGCGUACGAGCACUGUAAUGACGUACUGGCCGAUUGAUUUUCACUUAACAUGUGUAUACAUACGUAUACAUAUACAGCGAUCCGCCGAAUAUCCGGUGUAUGUGCCGGCUUAUGUGCGCCGCGAUACGAUUAAACGUCGGAUGAAAUCGAUUUCGGUAAAUUUCGCUCGGAAUGUAAUACAACAGUGACAAUCGCGUGUACGCCAAAAUAGUAACGGUCUUAUUAUCACGUGG